AACCCAUGUUGAGGACACUUCCUCAGGAGAUUCUUGAGCCUCUCCCAUCUCUCAAAGAGAGAAUCCACUUCCAUUUGAGCAAAAUAGGAAAUCUCAUUCCCGAGCUU